rnacentral:rRNA from 1 species
GACGAACGCUGGCGGCGUGCCUAAUACAUGCAAGUCGAGCGGAGCGGCGGACGGGUGAGUAAUGCCUAGGAAUCUGCCUGGUAGUGGGGGAUAACGUCCGGAAACGGGCGCUAAUCCCGCAUACUAUCAGAUGAGCCUAGGUCGGAUUAGCUAGUGGGUGGGGUAAAGGCCUACCAGGGCGACGAUCCGUAACUGGUCUGAGAGGAUGAUCAGUCACACUGGAACUGAGACACGGUCCAGACUCCUACGGGAGGCAGCGGUGGGGAUUAUUGGACAAUGGGCGAAAGCCUGAUCCGGCCAUGCCGGGGGUGUGAAGAAGGUCUUCGGAUUGUAAAGCACUUUAAGUUGGGAGGCGUUACCAACAGAAUAAGCACCGGCUAACUUCGUGCCAGCAGCCGCGGUAAUA